UGCGGGGGGGGCAAGCGUUGUUCGGAAUUACUGGGCGUAAAGGGCGCGUAGGCGGUCAGCACAAGUCAGUUGUGAAAUCUCCGGGCUUAACUCGGAAAGGUCAACUGAUACUGUGCGACUAGAGUGCGGAAGGGGCAACUGGAAUUCUCGGUGUAGCGGUGAAAUGCGUAGAUAUCGAGAGGAACACCUGCGGCGAAGGCGGGUUGCUGGGCCGACACUGACGCUGAUGCGCGAAAGCCAGGGGAGCGAACGGG
rnacentral:rRNA from 1 species